GACAUAGGGGGCAAGCGUUGCUCGGAAUCACUGGGCGUAAAGGGCGCGUAGGCGGGAUGGCAAGUCGGUCGUGAAAUCCUUCGGCUCAACCGAAGAACGUCGGCCGAUACUGCCGUUCUUGAGGGAUGCAGAGGAGAUUGGAAUUCCCGGUGUAGCGGUGAAAUGUGUAGAGAUCGGGAGGAACACCGGUGGCGAAGGCGGGUCUCUGGGCAUCUCCUGACGCUGAGGCGCGAAAGCGUGGGGAGCAAACGGG
rnacentral:rRNA from 1 species